AGUGAACGCUGGCGGUAGGCCCAACACGUGCAAGUCGAACGGUAGCACAGUAAGAGCUUGCCCUUACGGGUGGCGAGUGGCGGACGGGUGAGGAAUACAUCGGAAUCUACUUUUUCGUGGGGGAUAACGUAGGGAAACUUACGCUAAUACCGCAUACGACCUACGGGUGAAAGCAGGGGAUCUUCGGACCUUGCGCGAUUGAAUGAGCCGAUGUCGGAUUAGCUAGUUGGCGGGGUAAAGGCCCACCAAGGCGACGAUCCGUAGCUGGUCUGAGAGGAUGAUAAGCCACACUGGAACUGAGACACGGUCCAGACUCCGACGGGAGGCAGCAGUGGGGAAUAUUGGACAAUGGGCGCAAGACUGAUCCAGCCAUACCGCGUGGGUGAAGAAGGCCUUCGGGUUGUAAAGCCCUUUGGUUGGGAAAGAAAAGCAGCAGGUUAAUACCCCGCUGUUCUGACGGUACCCAAAGAAUAAGCACCGGCUAACUUCGUG
rnacentral:rRNA from 1 species